rnacentral:rRNA from 1 species
AUUGAACGCUGGCGGCAGGCUUAACACAUGCAAGUCGAGCGGUAGAAAGUAGCUUGCUACUUUUGAGAGCGGCGGACGGGUGAGUAAUGCGUGGGAAUCUACCUGGUAGUGGGGGACAACAGUUGGAAACGACUGCUAAUACCGCAUACGCCCUACGGGGGAAAGCGGGGAUCUUCGGACCUCGUGCUAUCAGAUGAGCCCGCGUGAGAUUAGCUGGUUGGUGGGGUAAAGGCCUACCAAGGCGACGAUCUCUAGCUGGUCUGAGAGGAUGAUCAGCCACACUGGGACUGAGACACGGCCCAGACUCCUACGGGAGGCAGCAGUGGGGAAUAUUGGACAAUGGGCGCAAGCCUGAUCCAGCCAUGCCGCGUGUGUGAAGAAGGCCCUUCGGGUUGUUAAAGCGACUUUCAGCGAGGAGGAAAGGUUGUCAGAGUUAAUAACUACUGUAGCUGUGACGUUACUCGCAGAAGAAGCACCGGCUAA